GAGUAUUUCCAGAACAGAAGUAAGCAGGCUUCUUUCAUUCUAAAGUCUACUGUGAUUUUUAACAGGGUUUCCUUAUUUCCUAUCAGUUUGUUUAUCAAAGACUCCAGCAUGGAGUUUAUUUAGGAAAAACAAAUGACUUUUUAGGUUCCACUACUUGGCUGAGAGGAAUUCAUGUUUUAGGAAGCCCCAGAUGGGAAAGCCUUGUUGUUUUCUUCUUUGAAAUGAUCUGCAUUUUCAAUUUUUUUCUACUUGCUUUUAUUUCCCACAAUCCAGACUCGCCUUUUCUACUUUGCCUAUCCAACGAUCUAAAACACUAUGUAAAGAUACAGAUAAGUCUUGUUGAUUCUUUUAAACAUUAGCCAUAAUCCAAAAAAGAAAAAAGUCUUAGGACUAUAGUCCUAACAGCACAAAUUUUAACCCUGACCAAAGCAAUUUCUAUUUUAAUUUAGGUUAUUUGAGCUGAAUUUGCAGGGCGAAGUGGUCAUGGGUAAAACUAACCAUUAGUUACCUCAAGCUUGCAACAAUGGCAAAGAAAUGUCAAGCCAUUAAUUAAAAUGACUCCCACGGCCCCUCCUGGAAUCAAGUCGUUCCCAGUUAGUCAACAUCUGUCACAAUCUGUGUAAAAGGGCAGAACACGCUAUACCCCAGCACAUUAAGUUAGAACACAGAGGUCUUGGGUCACUGCCAGAGUAACUUGUCUGUGGCAUGAUGGUUGCUAAGCGAAACAGAGCAUUCUCUGCAGGGAGCCCCCCUGGACUGAGGCUCCUUCUCUUCCCCUUUAUUUCUUGCUAGGCCAGCAGGAGCCAGGCCGUGGCCUGCUGACUGCAUCUGCCAGAUGACUACCAAUGUGUGAGUAAACCCAUUCUCAAGCCCAAGAGAACCUCUCAGCUGAACCAGGCCCAAGUUGCUCACCCACUGAACUGCCAGUUAAAUAAAUGGUGGUUGUUUUAAUCCACUAAAUGCUGGGAUGGUUUGUUAUACAGCAGUAGGUAUCAAUACAGUGUACUUGUCAAUCUAGGAAUUCCUGUCUUGUCAAAUCUGAGAAAAUUCUCGGUCACUGUCACUUCAAAUAUUACUUCUUUCCCAUUUUCUAUUCACUCAUUCCAAAACUCCUAGUGGAUGUCUUUUCUGUCAUUUCUGGUUCUGUCUUUUGUGAUCUUAAACUUUCAUUCAUUGUUUUUCCAUUUUUACUUCCGUGUUACAUUUUGAGUCAUUUCCUUAGUUCCAGUUUGCUUAUUUUCUAUUCAACCAUUAAAUAUUUCUAUUUAGUUUUAAGUUUCAGUGGCUAUAAGUUUCAUUUAUAAAAGAACUAUUUGGUUAUUUUCUAAAUCUGCAUUUUGUUUUCACAUGUUUUUCUGUUUUUUAAUUUGUAUUUUCCUUUGCCCUUGUAAAUCAUUUAAAAUGUACUUAUUUUAUAAUCAUCUGUGGCUUGAUCUGUUUCUUUACUUCUUGGGCAUUACUUUUUCUGUUAAUUUCAUGAUCUGACCCUCAAGGUGGUUUCCUCCUAUGGUUUGUAAUUUUUAUUAUGAGCUUAUUUUCAGCAGGGAUUUCUCCCCUCUGGUGAAGAUCUGUAUGCCUUGGGUAAUGUGAUUGUCACUUCACUAUGCCUGCAAGUUUGCUUCUGAUGGCAUCCUACCGAUAUCACCAACUCUCAACCAGCUCUAAUGUUUCUUGGUAUUUCUGCCCACAGUGAAAAUUCAGAGCUCACUUCAAUGCAUGGCAUGGGCUUGGCUUCAAGUUUUUCUGUAUGACCUUUUUUUAAAUUUAUUUUUAUUUUUUUAAACCUAUAGCCCAAGGACACGGGAGCUUUUUUUCCUGAUUUGUUUUUGCCAACACUGUAGCCCUCAGGAACUCAGAUUUUGCAAAGUGCUCAAUUCCAGUUGCCUUCCUUACUCACACCAGAGACAAUAUUUUAUUGGCCUGCAAGGGUGUUAAAAUCCCAAGGGUGUUAAAAUCCCCAGAUCUCCAGGGCCUAUCAUUGGUCCAAACCCUGCAGAGGCUACAGUGACAUUAGCCCCUACUUACUGCCCAGCCUCUGAGCUCCCUCUUUGUUUCUAGAAUCUGGGGAUUUCCCUUUCUCUCUGUCUAGAGAUUGUUGUGCUGGACCCCUAUUGACUCCAAUAGGAAUGGCACCAGGUUCAAGAGGCCAAAGAAGAGACCUGGAGCCAGCAAAUGAGACAUAAGAUUUGAUUUGGGGGAACUUAUGUACAGGGAUGGACUAGUGGCAGUGGGCUGGAUAAGAGAACCACAACUGCUUUCCAAAAGCCUGCAGUUUAUACAGCACCUUCACUCAGCACCCUCUCUCCAGCAACAUCCACAUGGCAACCCCCAUUUCCUAGGCUAAGUUAUUGCUGUCAGAUGUGUUUGCCAUACAGGCUGCUGUACAGAGUAUGCUUAAGUUAUUGCUGUCAGGUACAUCCACCGUAUAUAUACAUACACAUGUACGUAUAUAUACACAUACAUGUAUGUGUGUGUGUACAUAUUUGUACUCAUAUACAUGUGUAUAUAUAGAUAUAUAAAAAAAUUUUCUCUGUGUUUCCCUGUAACAGUAACUGAAGAGGGAAUUCUUCUAUAUAAUCUCAGUCCACUAUAUUGCUAGAAGUUCUCUUCUCUAUACUUUUGAGAUAUGAAUUUUACCUUUCAAUAUUCUAAAAUUAUAACAAAGCUAUAAAUUUUGGGAAUUGGUAUAUGUUUGUUUUUAGAAAAAUUGUUAGAAACAUAAUAGCAAUGGGAUGCUUUAACAUGCUACCUUGAACCUUUACCAAAUCAAGAGAGUAAAAAUUAAGCACAAAAGAGGGAUCUAAUACUAUAAACAAGGUAGAUUUAAUACAUAUGUAUCAAACAUAGUAACCUAGAAGCAAUGAAUAUACAUUUUCUGGUGCUCAUUUAACAUUAACGACCUUCAAGAAGGCUUUAAACAGCAACAGAUAGAGUUGAGUUGCUUUGGCCUAUUGCUAAAGGCAUCUAACCCACCUGCUUUGUGGGAGGUCAUCUGCUUUGAAUCUCAACUGUAUCCAAGUCAGAUUUAAACUCUAUGGGGCAUUGGAAUUGUCCUCUGAAUCAUCUCCAACUCUGCAGGAUACAUAAUAGCACCACUUUGUUGUUCUGGAAUUUAAAGACAGGGUCUUAUUCAACUUUGGCUAUUUUUGUGCAGUCCAUGGAUCCUUGAAACAGGACAUUCUACUUUACCAAUAUCUGACUCAUAGAAGACCUAUCUAUAUACCUACCAGGUGGCUACUACCCAGUAACUCCUACCGCCAAUACCAUGACAUUUGUUUUGAAAACCUUAGCUUAUUGCAAUAUUGCUUAUAAUUAUGAAACCUUAGAAACAACUGAAAUGCCUAUCAAAGAGAGAAUUUAUAAAUAAAAUGUAACAUAUUCACGUUCUAUUUUGAUAUGAAUUACCAUAAUAUUCUAUUAGGAUAUGAAUUGUUAUAAUGGCCAUUAGAAGGAAUGGAUUGUUCCCAUAUAUAACAUAAUAUAUCCAUGUAUAAAGUAUCUAUAUAAUACCAACACGUAACAUAAUGUAAAGAAAAGAGAUUCAUGGAAUAAAAUGUGCAUGUCAUUGAUAUAAAUUUUAAAAACACAGAAAUAAUACAUUAUAUUAAGACUAUAUAUGUAUGUAAAAUUAUUACCAGUGGACUGAUUUGGAUAUACACUAAAUUCAUGCUACUUGCUUCUGGAGGUUGCAGUAAAGAACUGGAACUGUGUCUGGGGAUGUCACUUUUAUCUGUUUUAUUUAGUUCAUUUUUUAUAAACAAUCCUUGAGGCAAAUAUGAGCUGUUAAUAAAUGCCAAUUAGUCUUUUUGCAUAUUGGUUGCAUUUCUCUUUUUUACAACUUUAUUGAGUAUAAUU
rnacentral:lncRNA from 1 species